GGGGGGGGGGGGGGGGGGGGGGGGGGCGGGCGGGGCGGGGGGGGGGGCGCCGGCCGGGGGGGGGGGUGGGGAGGAGUGGCGAACGGGGGAGUAACACGUGAGUAACCUGCCCCCUUCUUCUGGAUAACCGCAUGAAAGUGUGGCUAAUACGGGAUAUUCUGGGUCUGUCGCAUGAUGGGUCUGGGAAAGAUAUUGUUUCGGUGGGGGAUGGGCUCGCGGCCUAUCAGCUUGUUGGUGGGGUGAUGGCCUACCAAGGCGGUGACGGGUAGCCGGCCUGAGAGGGUGGACGGUCACACUGGGACUGAGACACGGCCCAGACUCCUACGGGAGGCAGCAGUGGGGAAUAUUGCACAAUGGGCGCAAGCCUGAUGCAGCGACGCCGCGUGAGGGAUGGAGGCCUUCGGGUUGUGAACCUCUUUCGCCAGUGAAGCAGGCCUGCCUCGUUUGUGGGUGGGUUGACGGUAGCUGGAUAAGAAGCGCCGGCUAACUACGUG
rnacentral:rRNA from 1 species